rnacentral:rRNA from 1 species
UACGAAGGGGGCGAGCGUUGUCCGGAUUUAUUGGGCGUAAAGAGCUCGUAGGCGGUUUGGUAAGUUGGAUGUGAAAUCUCCAGGCUCAACUUGGAGGGGUCAUUCGAUACUGCCAUGACUAGAGUUCGGUAGGGGAGUGUGGAAUUCCUGGUGUAGCGGUGGAAUGCGCAGAUAUCAGGAGGAACACCGGUGGCGAAGGCGGGUCUCUGGGCAGUAACUGACGCUGAGGAGCGAAAGCGUGGGGAGCGAACAGG